rnacentral:rRNA from 1 species
AACGAACGCUGGCGGCAUGCCUAACACAUGCAAGUCGAACGAGACCUUCGGGUCUAGUGGCGCACGGGUGCGUAACGCGUGGGAACCUGCCCUUAGGUUCGGAAUAACUCCCCGAAAGGGGUGCUAAUACCGGAUAAUGUCUUCGGACCAAAGAUUUAUCGCCUUUGGAUGGGCCCGCGUUGGAUUAGCUAGUUGGUAGGGUAAAAGCCUACCAAGGCGACGAUCCAUAGCUGGUCUGAGCGGAUGAUAAGCCACACUGGAACUGAGACACGGCCCAGACUCCUACGGGAAGAAGCAGUGGGGAAUAUUGGACAAUGGGCGAAAGCCUGAUCCAGCGAUGCCGCGUGAAUGAUGAAGGCCUUAGGGUUGUAAAGCUCUUUUACCCGGGAUGAUAAUGACAGUACCGGGAGAAUAAGCUCCGGCUAACUCCGUG